rnacentral:rRNA from 1 species
CCUACGGGUGGCAGCAGUGAGGAAUAUUGGUCAAUGGACGAGAGUCUGAACCAGCCAAGUAGCGUGAAGGAUGACUGCCCUAUGGGUUGUAAACUUCUUUUAUAAAGGAAUAAAACGAGGCACGUGUGCCUUUUUGCAUGUACUUUAUGAAUAAGGAUCGGCUAACUCAGUGCCAGCAGCCGCGGUAAUACUGAGGAUCCGAGCGUUAUCCGGAUUUAUUGGGUUUCAAGGGAGCGUAGAUGGGUUGUUAAGUCAGUUGUGAAAGUUUGCGGCUCAACCGUAAAAUUGCAAUUGAUACUGGCAGUCGUGAGUACAGUUGAGGUAGGCGGAAUUCGUGGUGUAGCGGUGAAAUGCUUAGAUAUCACGAAGAACCCCGAUUGCGAAGGCAGCUUACUAAACUGUGACUGACAUUGAUGCUCGAAAGUGUGGGUAUCAAACAGGAUUAGAUACCCGUGUAGUC